rnacentral:rRNA from 1 species
UGGACGUCAAAUCAUCAUGCCCCUUACUGACCUGGGCUACACACGUGCUACAAUGGUUGGUACAACGAGUUGCGAGUCGGUGACGGCGAGCUAAUCUACUUAAAGCCAAUCUCAGUUCGGAUUGUAGGCUGCAACUCGCCUACAUGAAGUCGGAAUCGCUAGUAAUCGCGGAUCAGCACGCCCGCGGUCGAAUACGUUCCCGGGCCUU